AAAAUCUGUUUGGUAUAUGAAGAAAGAAAGUGUCAAUGUAUGAGCAGUAGACCAAUGUGGAAUUCUUCAAAGUCUUGCCUCAAUACUUCAUCCUGAUUUCUGAACUCAUAGAUGUUUGUCAUAUCCAGCUGCCUUUAUAAAGAGAAGCGUGUUGUUCUGUCUCAGUGUCAUAGAUAGUAGGGAAGAAGGAUAGAAGAGCAGUAUGGAUGGAAGUGAUCCACUGGGUCCUUAUGACAGUGAAUGAAGACACCAUUGGAGGAGAGAAAAUGUACAAAACUUGCAGAUAGACCAGACCUUAUUGGAUUUGUUAUGAUAUUCUGAUAAUUUCUGAAAUGCAAAAUAAGCCUUCUUUAGAAAGAGGCAGAAGGACAGAC
rnacentral:sRNA from 1 species